rnacentral:rRNA from 1 species
UGGGGAAUUUUGGACAAUGGGCGAAAGCCUGAUCCAGCAAUGCCGCGUGUGUGAAGAAGGCCUUCGGGUUGUAAAGCACUUUUGUCCGGAAAGAGAUCCCUUGGCUCUAAUACAGUCGGGGGAUGACGGUACCGGAAGAAUAAGCACCGGCUAACUACGUGCCAGCAGCCGCGGUAAUACGUAGGGUGCAAGCGUUAAUCGGAAUUACUGGGCGUAAAGCGUGCGCAGGCGGUUUGCUAAGACCGAUGUGAAAUCCCCGGGCUCAACCUGGGAACUGCAUUGGUCGACUGGCAGGCUAGAGUAUGGCAGAGGGGGGUAGAAUUCCACGUGUAGCAGUGAAAUGCGUAGAGAUGUGGAGGAAUACC